rnacentral:misc_RNA from 1 species
GAUGAAGAACGCAGCGAAAUGCGAUAAGUAAUGUGAAUUGCAGAAUUCAGUGAAUCAUCGAAUCUUUGAACGCACAUUGCGCCCGUCAGUAUUCUGGCGGGCAUGCCUGUUCGAGCGUCAUUACGCCCCUCAAGUCCCCUGUGGACUUGGUGUUGGGGAUCGGCGAGGCUGGUUUUCCAGCACAGCCGUCCCUUAAAUUAAUUGGCGGUCUCGCCGUGGCCCUCCUCUGCGCAGUAGUAAAACACUCGCAACAGGAGCCCGGCGCGGUCCACUGCCGUAAAACCCCCCAACUUUUUAUAGUUGACCUCGAAUCAGGUAGGACUACCCGCUGAACUUAAGCAUAUCAUAAGGGAGGA